rnacentral:lncRNA from 1 species
GAUGCCGGGAUGUAUGUUGCCGCCUCCUCCUUUCUCCCCGAUGAAACUUGAGCUCCAAGUCCGGAAACCGUGUGGACACUAGCCCGGCGCGCUGAAGCCUUCGGGUCCACGCCUCUUGGCCUCCGGGAGAAGGCACCAUCUUAAAAACCCACCCUGCGGUAGCAUCCCUUCCAGCAGGAUUUGUGCCCUGGCAACCUUUGGAUCUUUGGGUUGAUCCCAGCUGGAACCUGCACGCCUCCUUUCAGUUGUUGGACGUCCUUCACGCAGCCCCUGGUUAUUUUAGAAGAAAACCUUGUUUCCAGGGACUCAACAUUUACCUUUUGAAUACAUAUUGCAUCUACUGUCCCCUGGCUGUUGAAACAAGUAGCCUCAGGUUUCUCCCGUGUGCCUUUUGUAUUCCAGGUUUAGGAGCUAAUCUCUUUGUGCCUUAGCUGGAUCAAUUAUUGUGGAGCCGCAUGUCACAGCAGUGUGGGGAAAGAAUGUGUCCUUGAAGUGUUUAAUUGAAGUGAAUGAGACUAUCACACAGAUCUCAUGGGAGAAGAUACACGGCAAGAGCACACAGACCGUUGCGGUGCAUCAUCCUCAGUAUGGAUUCUCUGUUCAGGGAGAGUAUCAGGGAAGAAUCUUGUUUAAAAACUAUUCACUUAAUGAUGCAACAAUUACUCUGCAUAACAUAGGCUUCUCAGAUUCUGGAAAAUACAUAUGCAAAGCUGUCACAUUCCCACUUGGAAAUGCCCAGUCCUCUACAACUGUGACUGUGC